UUAAUCUUCCUGAUUUGAACAACUAGUAAAACGUUUUUGUUUUAAGCUCACACAAAUGGAAUCAGAUUUUGUUUCCAAGAACUGAAUCAUCUGCUUCUCAAGCGCAAUCAAUCCGCUACAGGAAAACCAGGUAAUACUGAACAAUACUGAGCAAUUUUGUUGGAGUAUUACAUGCAACUCAAUUUCCUCUGAUGUGAAUGCAAGUCAACAAUGUGCAAGAAGCCUCAACAAG
rnacentral:lncRNA from 12 species